AGUGAACGCUGGCGGUAGGCCUAACACAUGCAAGUCGAACGGCAGCACAGUAAGAGCUUGCUCUUACGGGUGGCGAGUGGCGGACGGGUGAGGAAUACAUCGGAAUCUACUUUUUCGUGGGGGAUAACGUAGGGAAACUUACGCUAAUACCGCAUACGACCUACGGGUGAAAUCAGGGGAUCUUCGGACCUUGCGCGAUUGAAUGAGCCGAUGUCGGAUUAGCUAGUUGGCGGGGUAAAGGCCCACCAAGGCGACGAUCCGUAGCUGGUCUGAGAGGAUGAGCAGCCACACUGGAACUGAGACACGGUCCAGACUCCUACGGGAGGCAGCAGUGGGGAAUAUUGGACAAAGGGCGCAAGCCUGAUCCAGCCAUACCGCGUGGGUGAAGAAGGCCUUCGGGUUGUAAAGCCCUUUUGUUGGGAAAGAAAAGCAGCAGGUUAAUACCCCGCUGUUCUGACGGUACCCAAAGAAUAAGCACCGGCUAACUUCGUG
rnacentral:rRNA from 1 species